UGCCACGUGCGUCUGAGCAUGUGGACAUUCACCCCCCAACUCUCUCUUCCUUUCACCCUCUACCCGUGGUUUCUUCAUGUUUUUUUUUCUUCUCCAAUUGAAUUUCUCAAUUUCCCAUCUUCUUUUUCUGUUUGGUUCCCGCGAAUCUCCAAUCAGACAAGACAAAGGGUCGACCCGUUAAUUGAGUUGCGCUGAUAUGGAGAAGGUUGAGCCCACUUUAGAAGUGUUCUAUGAGGAGAAGAAGCGGGUUAGGAACCCUUGGGUACCAGUUGGGGCGUUGUUGACUGCUGGCGUGCUCACGGCCGGCUUGAUCAGUUUCAGGCAAGGCAAUUCUCAGCUGGGGCAGAAGCUAAUGAGAGCUCGUGUGGUUGCCCAAGGUGGCACAGUGGCGCUUAUGGUUGGCUCUGCAUACUACUACGGGGAGAAUCCGUGGAAAAAAUCUAGUUAAACUAUUUAUGCCUUAUACGUUAUCAUUUCCCUUCGUUCUUACAAUUACAUUUUGUUGUUUCAUGCAUGUUGAAGCAAAAUUAGGCAGUAGAACCAAUUAUUUGUCUCUGAUAAGUGAGUUUCAUAGCUUGCGCUAAAUAAAUAAACUCUUAUAUUGGAGGGUUUACCAAAACAAAACCAUGUCAAAUUGUGAAGGUUCUUAUGA